rnacentral:rRNA from 1 species
CUGCUGCCUCCCGUAGGAGUCUGGUCCGUGUCUCAGUACCAGUGUGGGGGACCUUCCUCUCAGAACCCCUACGCAUCGUCGCCUCGGUGGGCCGUUACCCCGCCAACUAGCUAAUGCGCCGCAUGCCCAUCCGUCUCCGAUAUUCUUUCAAAACCAGACGAUGCCGUCCAGCUUCAUACGGGGUAUUAGACGCCGUUUCCGACGAUUAUCCCCCUGAGACGGGCAGGUUGCAUACGUGUUACUCACCCGUGCGCCGGUCGCCGG